AUACGUAGGUGACAAGCGUUAUCCGGAUUUACUGGGCGUAAAGGGCGUGUAGGCGGUCUUGCAAGUCAGAAGUGAAAUUCCUGAGCUCAACUCGGGCGCUGCUUCUGAAACUGCAGGACUUGAGUGCUGGAGGGGAUAGCGGAAUUCCUAGUGGAGCGGUAAAAUGCGCAGAUAUUAGGAAGAACACCGGUGGCGAAGGCGGCUAUCUGGAAAGUAACUGACGCGUGGGCGCGAAAGGGUGGGUAGGAAAAAGGUAUAGAUACCCGGGUAAUCCACGCUGUAAACGAUGAAUACUAGGUGUAGGGGGUAUCGACUCCCUCUGUGCCGCAGUUAACACAAUAAGUAUUCCGCCUGGGGAGUACGGCCGCAAGGUUGAAACUGAAAGGAAUUGGCGGGG
rnacentral:rRNA from 1 species